GCCAGGCAUGGUGGCGUGUGCCUGUAAUCCCAGCUACUCGGGAGGCUGAGGCAGGAGAAUCGCUUGAACCUGGGAGGUGGAGGUUGGAGUGAGCUGAGAUCCUGCCACUGCACUCCAGCCUGGGUGACAGAGCGAGACUCUGUCUCAA
rnacentral:SRP_RNA from 1 species